rnacentral:rRNA from 2 species
GACGUAGGGGACGAGCGUUGUCCGGAUUUAUUGGGCGUAAAGCGCGCGCAGGCGGCCACGUAAGUCGGAUGUGAAAUCCCGGGGCUCAACCCCGGAACUGCAUUCGAUACUGCGUGGCUCGAGGUAGGUAGGGGAGAUCGGAAUUCCUGGUGUAGCGGUGGAAUGCGCAGAUAUCAGGAGGAACACCGGUGGCGAAGGCGGAUCUCUGGGCCUUACCUGACGCUCAGGCGCGAAAGCUAGGGGAGCGAACAGG